GAGAAGAAGUCCAACACAGGACAGGUAUGCGUUCCUGUUUGACAAGGCGAUGCUAGUGUGUAAGAAGAAGAGUGGAGAGACGAUGGAACUGAAGGAGAUUAUAGACCUGCAGUACUACCAGCUACGAGACGAGACCACCGGGAGAAGGACAGCAAGAAGUGGUCACAUUUUUUCCUACUUAUAGACUGUUAUGGGAAGUCAGGAUAUGACCUUUUCUUCAAGACCAGAGAUCUCAAGAAGAAAUGGCUGGAGCAGUUUGAGAUGGCCCUGUCCAACAUGUGUCCAGAGAACUGUACUGCCCAACAGUCAUGACUUCCAGAUGCACUGCUUGA